rnacentral:misc_RNA from 1 species
AUUGGUACUUGGCAUUAGAUGGUUUGUAACAAGGACACAUGUCUCCUGUCCAACUCUCCUAUCAUUAAAUAUGUUUGAAACUGUGGAGGUCAGAGGUCUUGGAUAUUACAAAUGUAGCAUCUAUUGUUUAAGUGUCUGUCAAUUGUAUGGAAGAAUUUGGCUUCGUAGAGUACAGGGAUUACCAAGAGAGGAGAAUAUUCCUCCAAACUAUUACGGGGGCCAAAUGUCUCAAGCUACGUUCCUGGUUUGCUGUGUACACACUUCUCUUUUUUUCACAACUUCUCUGGUAUAG